UACGGAGGGUGCAAGCGUUAUCCGGAUUCACUGGGUUUAAAGGGUGCGUAGGCGGUCUGCUAAGUCUGAUGUGAAAUCCCCGGGCUCAACCUGGGAACUGCGUUGGAAACUAGCAAACUAGAGUACGUAAGAGGGGGGUGGAAUUCCACGUGUAGCAGUGGAAAUGCGUAGAUAUGCGGAGGAACACCGAUGGCGAAGGCAAUCCCCUGGACCUGUACUGACGCUCAUGCACGAAAGCGUGGGGAGCAAACAGG
rnacentral:rRNA from 1 species